AAGAUACUCAUGAGGAGAUGCUAGUCUGAAUUUCUCAAUUGUUUUACAGAGAAAAAAAAAAAAAAGGUGUCUUCAGAAACACCAAUUCAUGUAUUGAAUAUCCAUUUAUUAAAGUAAAUGUACACUAAAAUAAAUGAACAUUUUAGGGAAACAUCCGAGUGAGCAGUGGUGGAAUGUAUGAAUGCUGUGUCAGUGCUGGUGUCAGGUAGGCUGUUCCUUUGCAGAUUUGACUUUCAGAUAAUUAAACUGUUCUCGGUUUUGUUCUUUUUUUUUUCCUGAUGGUGUAUUCCAGAGUUUGAAGGAGUUCAUAACUUGCAAUACUGUGAAAACGCAAGAAUCAGCUGGAGUGAGGCUGGUGUUUAGCAAGGCAACAAUCUUCUGUUCUCAGGCUGUACUGGGGAUAUUUUUAGGAUAUUGGAUUUCUGCUUAAAUGUGCAGUAUGUACAUUUAUACUAACAAGUUAAAUUCAUCAGAGUCUUGACAUCAGAUUUCCUUUCUUCCCUGUCUCUUCCAUUGAGCUUUCUUUGCAAUUACAAAGCCUUCCUACAACAUAAAGUCUUUUCUCGUGGGAUCACAGAAAAAAUGUUGACAUUUUCUCCUGUCUAGGACUGGUGUACUCUGUGUGUGCUACAGGACAUAGAGAAGCUAGUUUGCUGGCAGGAAUAAACUUGGAGGCUUUUUUCUCCCCAGUUACCCAAUUUAAUGGAGGCUUUUCUUUCCCGUCACUCUAAGGAGCGCUGUCAUCUUGGUUUCUGGUCUGAUGAUGAUAAGACACGAUGAUUACGCCCUCUGGCUCCUGCAGCUCUCCAUCUGUCUUUGUGCACCUUCCUUCUUUGAGAACCUUUGUCCAAAGAUCCUUCUUCCUGCCUGCUGUGUCCUCCUUGCCGUGGUGGUGACUUCACUCACUGAAGGCACAAAUGCUGAAGCUGCCUAUUUUGUGCUUGGAAAGUGCUGAUCCAAGCAGUAGAAUAUUCAGAUUCUCUGAAGCAAAAUUGAUAACACCUAGGCCAUUCCCAAUGGCUCUUCACGUGUUUUCCUUUUUAAGUUUGCUGCUAAGAUUCCAUGGGCUAUUCCAGCACUUAAAUACUCCUACCUGUGGAACAUAAAUAUGUGCCAUUCUUUCCCUACAGCUAGCCUGUUACUGCUUCAUCUGUCUUGGUCAGUACACGUAGAGAUCUGUCUGCUUCAAAGGGAUCCAUUAUGCCUACCUCCAGCUUUCCCUUUCUAGACUAAGCAAAUCACAUUCUUCUCAUUACUCACAAUUAAAGGAUAGCUGAGGUUGGAAGGGACCUCUGCAGGUCACCUAGUGAAUUCUUCAAAGUGGGGCAAUGAGAGCAAGUUAGGCAGGACACUGUCGGUCGCUGCUGAAUAUCUCCUGAGCAUGAAGAUUACUCGGCGUCCCUGCGUAACCUGUCCUGGUGUCUGAUCAGCCCCACAGCAAAAAGAUUUUCCUCUUAUACUUCAACAGAUUUACUCGUGCUUCAGUACGUGCCCAUUGCAUGUUGCCCUGUCACUGGACACCAUGGAGAAGAGCUCUGUUCUCUUCCCCCAUCAGUAUUCGUACAUUGAUAAAAUACAUAAUACUGUUGGAUUUGGAGAUCAUAGCAGUAAAAACUGCUGUUUUGUUCCACAGCAAGAGAAAUGUACACAACUGCUGUACUGUGGGAUGUUUUCCUUUUAAUGGAAUGCUCUGCGAGUCAUUUCAGUCUCUGUAUCAGGUUCUACAUAAAAAGCCUUUUCAUCUGCGAAAUGACAUGUCAGGAACGGCUGCUGAAGAAUGAGAAAUAGGGUUUUCUCUCUUCUUGAUACAAACGGUUUGCUCAUUUCAAUCUUUGUUCAUGAAUCUGAACUUAAAUAUAUAUAUAUUUAUAUGAAGAAGAAUAAAAGAUCUAGCUCAGUGGCAAUGGAUUUUUCCUAGGAAAAAAUCCUGCUUCUGACUGCAGUGGAGAGGUUGAAAUCCAUUAGAUCUACCUAAAAGACAGAACUCAAGCCUCUGACAUCAGACUGCAGUUACCAGUGGCUUGGAUGAAAUGCUUAUCAAGGAAGCUUCUAUAAAUGGGAGAAGUAGCAAAGCCGAACGGGAUUGGCACGUGGUGGUCAGGACUGAGUAGUUCCACUCAGAAAGGUUCAAGUCCUCAUCUCACUUUCUUACAGAAAAAACACAAGCGAUCCUUAGCUUUAAAAAUAAUUUUUAAAAAGCCUAUCUUUUGACUGAGAAAAUGCUCGUUUAAAUCCUUGCCAUCAUGAGGGGCUUCUUUUUCUGUCUGUAAAAUGGGAAUGUCUCUUCCAUCCUGCCGAGAAGAGUAAGUGAAUGCUCCCUACUGGAAUCUACAGCGGAUACGGUCUUGUGGUGUGUUCGGCAGAGCCUUCUGUCACAGCAGGAAGAAAUCCUGCCACAAUGUGGAGCUAAUGCUUCUGAAGUCAUUUGGAGCUGUACUUGGAUUUUGUGCUGCUCAGGGUCUGUCACACUGUGUACUGGGCAGAAAGUGGGAGUGAGGAGCAUUGUGGGUGUUCAGUGGUGAUGGAACAGGUGUGGCCAUUGUAAGUCCCUCUGCUUCAACAGCUGUGCUAAUGGACCUUCUGCUGUGGCUUCCUGCCAAGGGCUUAAAUGAACUAAGGACCUUUCAGGUUUCAAAGUACACCUGUUGCUAUGUUCUCGAGGCUGGUGCACAUGUACAGUGCAGCUGAUUACAGGCUGACGGGGAGGCUGGGGGGCCGGGCUGCACGACACGCUGUCUGCUGCAGCUGGAGACUGUCGGGAGCUCCUCUGGUGUCGACGCAUCCCGGCCGGCAGAGUGCUGCCUGCUGCUCUGCAGCGCUGCCUGUGCCGAAUCGGCUCCGAGGGGGAAUUCCUCUGUGCCGCCGGUAGGCUGCAUCCUGCGCUGUUACCGGGCGGGGCUUCUUUAAAAAUCACUGCGUGCAUCACCGGAUCCACUGACACGGACUAUCUUUAACUAUGGGAAUAUUCUUCUGCAGCCAUCUCUGCAAUGAACCGCACUCAGUGCCCUACUUCCCUUGCUCAGGGAGGCUCUGAGGGUGAAUCUGGUCAGGUGAGCAACCCCUGGGGUGUUCUGCUGUACUGCUGAUGCUUAGCAUAUGGAAGCUGAGAAACAGAUGUAUGCGAUGAGGGCCGCUCUGACGAUCGUCUGUCAAACCAUGGGCAGCACCAGGAGGAGCACCCCGGGUCUUCUGGCUCUCUGUAGCCCACCCUGAGCACUGCAGCCUGCCUUCUGCUGCACAUGGUGUGAUUCAUAAUGCAGAGGCUCUGCUGUAAGCUGGCUGCCUCUUUGUGAGCUGCCGCUGCUGCAGCAGAGAAAAGCGUUUGAGCUCAGGCAGCAAAGAGAUUGUGCAUGUCUAGCAAAUAGUCAGAACUCCAGAAACAGUGCUUAACAGAUUAUCUUAUCUUGGGAUAAUCUCAUAAAGCAUACUGACUGGUUAAAACUACGCUUUGAAGUUUGCAGCAAACAUCUCAAAUCUUUACCCUUUGUGACUGUGGGCUUUUUGUUUGUUGUUUCCUCCAUUGUCUGUACAAAAAUACCACUUCACGUAUUCUUUUUGAUAGUCUGUGUUCUAGCCUUUCUGGAAAAGUACCAAAUCAUUAAUGGGUAUUCGUUGCUUUUAGUUGUGCUUCUCAGUGCUAACCCUAUUCCUGCUAUUUGCAGUUUGUUUAGGCUAUGUUUAGGCACAUGCAAAUGUAAGUGGUUAUUCAGCGCCUUUGGCGUUCUGAACAGAAUGUCCUGAACUCCCGUGGCUCCUUACAAAGCCUCAGCCUCCAGCACUAACAAAGCCUGUGACGGCAGCAGCUGAAGCAUGAGAACUACCUGCCCUCGACAGGGUGAAUUCGGAGAAUCUGGGAAGGUUGUAGACCAUGAUCUCAUGCAUGCUCUGCCUGCAGCACUGGAGCUGGGCUGAUGCAGCAUUGCAUGCGGUGUGUGGAUUCUUCUGCAGCAUGAAGUUUUUCUCUGGCUGCAUCAACACUUGGGUUCAGUGUGUUCCUGAAUUAUAAUGGAGACUUCUACAAAUAAUGCAGUAACUGGAAGUGAAGCGAAACCGUGUGAUGCUGCGGCCUCCCAAGUAUCUGCUGGCAGCAGCCUGGGAUUUUUACAGUUGUUUAUCUUGUUGCUCAGCCUAUUUUAAG
ensembl:lncRNA